rnacentral:rRNA from 1 species
GACGAACGCUGGCGGCGUGCUUAACACAUGCAAGUCGAGCGGUAAGGCCUUUCGGGGUACACGAGGCGGCGAACGGGUGAGCAACACGUGGGUGACCUGCCCUCCACUUCGGGAUAAGCCUGGGAAACUGGGUCUAAUACGGGGAUGGGACCAUUCCAUGCAUGUGGGGUGGUGGAAAGUCGGUGCUGUUGUGGUGCUGGCGGUGGGGGAUGGGCCCGCGGUCUAUCAGCUUGUUGGUGGGGGAUGGCUUACCAAGGCGACGACGGAUAGCCGGCCUGAGAGGGUGAUCGGCCACACUGGGACUGAGACACGGCCCAGACUCCUACGGGAGGCAGCAGUGGGGAAUCUUGCGCAAGUGGGCGGAAGCCUGACGCAGCAACG